rnacentral:tRNA from 1 species
GCCUCCUUAGCUCAGUGGUAGAGCGUCCGCCUUGUAAGCGGAGGGCCGCCGGUUCGAACCCGGCAGGUGGCUCGA